rnacentral:lncRNA from 1 species
AUCUCUCUGGCUCUAUCCCUCUCUAUAUAUACAUGAUUAUAUGAGUGUGUAAAAAUCAUCUUAUAGAUCUCUUGAAACAAGUGUCCCAAUAGCAUCGUAUUAUCAAGAUGGACAAGUACCCAACUCCCAUCCGUGCAAGAGUCCUACUGGAAGCUCUACUUCUUCUUCUCAUAUGUCAUGCUACUACUACACAAUGUAAGCAGGGGAUUUUAAAUAGUUAGUUCUACUUUUAAUAAUCUUUAGUAUUUACAGUAAGUAUACCAUGUAAUAUUUUUUCUUGAAGUAGGUAUUUUUCUAUUACAUAACGACAAAUUAUUUUAUUCAUUUUUCCCAUGUGGUGGUUGUUAUUGAUCAAUCCAAAAUCAUACUAAUGUCCAUUGUUUGUUUGUUAUACCAUAGGUCGAAUCAUCAAUGGCAUCGAUAAUGAUAAGAUCAAUUUACAUGGGUUGUGUGUCAUAGACAAACCAGUCCUUGGUGACUACUGUUGCAAAGUUAUGCAUGAGUGUUACAUAGACCUUCCGACGUGCCUUCAGGAGUGCAACAAACCUGCAGGCGUGGUAGCGAGGGCAACCCCUCCUUCACCUACCGUAUUCGGGACAAAUGGAAUUUGAUUGGAUAAUAAUAUGCAAUGUAUGAAAAAUAUUUGAAAUAAAAAGAAGUAUCUCUGUUUUUGUUAUAUUUUUCAUAUUGCAAUUUAAUUUUCGGCAGCUGUAGUGAGUAGGGAUCUUCGGGAUAACAAUAUACUAUUCUUCUUUUUCACUGGAUGAGAAAAUGACCACCUGGGAGCAUGCAGAAUUUUCAUUACUCAUGUGAGGACAUAAUUCUUGAAAAUAGGUUAGAAAUUGUGAAGCCUACUUUACUAUAUUGUGGAAGCAUUUAUUAGUUUUGAAUUAUAUAAAUAUUUCCUUUAAGAAACUAAAGCUUGCAUGUACUAUCUAUCAAUAUCUUGAUACGUACCAAUAUAAAAAUACUCAAAGGGGCAGAUCCAAUUAAUCUCGACCACCAAACCAGGUCAAUUCAAUGAACACGAGAGUGAUCCGAUCAUGAGCGCUCAACUUGUUUAGCAUGCAUUAAAAUAUUAUUCCAAAUAUUCACAUUGACAUAGUUUAUAAAAUUAAUGCAUAAAUAAUGUUGUACAUAAAAUAUGUGAGCAAUUAAUAUACUGCCGAAUAUCAUGUCCAAUUUAUGUACAUACCGAGUUUGGUACAACUAUUAAGGUUAAUUCGCUUUGAUAUUGUAGAGAUAAAGCAUAGAAAUUAUUUAUUUAUGUCGACUCCAAAAUUGGCUUCCACGGAAACAAAUACAUGUACGUUUCCAAUAUUUUCAUCGUAUCAAUCUAAAAUAUCUUCAACAAUUUGUGUCAAUGUUCCCGUGACAGUACAAUUGCUUCUUGCAUAAAAAACAUUUCUUCCAUCUAGACAUAUUUCUUUUGUAGGAUUACAUUUCUAUUGGAUGAAGAAAAACUUUGAGAAAAAAGAUAUAGCAUCCAUCCUUGAAAAUCUUGCUGCCAACUAUCCAAACUGAGAAGGUUUGCACAUUUGGUGGUCAUUAGUACAUGGAUAGAUGGUAACUAGGAUGAUCAUUGGAAUCAUGCAUAACCAGAUUCCGAUAAUUUCACUAUAAAAUCUGCUCUGCUCAGUUACAAAUAUUUGAUGACGGUCAUACAUCACCAAGUGUUUUCCUCCCUAGGAAGCGCACUCGACAACUUUGGUGACGCUCUCACGUGAAAUUCAACAAUGUUUCGGCAUCACAAGGCAUGUCCAUUAUCUAGGACGAUGUCUAGUGUCACAAAAGAUGUCCGUGUCACAAAAAAUGUUCAGCGGGUUAGAUAAUUGAUUAAAAAAUGCCGUGGUUGUGUUCAGAAUGUAGUACCUUAUAAAUUCUGCAAUGGUAAAGUUCAUAACAUGUUCGAAUCAAAAUUUCUGGGUUUAGUGUUCGGAGUCUCGUAUUGAUACGUCCAUUUUGCAUCAUGUUUUCUUAUUAAUAUUUAUUAUGUUUUGAAUGAUUCUUUCACUUUAGUGUGCAAUCCCAAUGCCAUUUCUGUCUUAUUUUGCAUGAUUUACACAAAGAAAGAAAUUACCAGCAACUGGAAAUCUGGAUCGAAAAAGGCUAUACAAGAGUUGGAUAUUUCGAGAACACCAAAUGACCUAAAAGUUGACGAAGAAAUAUUCUGGAAAUAGAGAAAGGAUGCCGCCCGGUCGGGAACAUUUUGUGUUUUAUCAUUAUCUAGAUUUCCGUGACUAUGAUUUACAUGAAUACUUUGUAGUAUGAGAUGCGUAUGCACAUGGCACUUAUGUUGCCGACCACAGAAGACCAUGGUGGAGAAGCGGCUCGAAGCCAAGGACCAGAAGAUCUGGCAGUUUGGGAGUACCUCAGGACUUUGAUAUCAACUCCAGUCACUACAUGAAGACCGCAUCACUAUGCAUAUGGUCCAUUGGUUCUGUAGCUUAUUUUGUUCAGCUUGUUUGUGUUCUGUUUAGAGAUCUCCCUGAAAAGAGUAGAAUUGUGCCUUCUCUAGCUGGGCUGCAAAGAAAGGGUAAUGUAAUCUCCAUGUGCGUGCUUUAAGUCUCUACCUAUGUAGUGUUUCUAGCAAUUUUUGGAUUCGUGUUCAGAGCGAUGGAUAUGAACUGGAUGCAUACUAUGUGUAUGUACAUAUGAAUAAUACAUACUAUAUGUAUGUACAUAUGAAUAAUACCGGAUGCAAAUUCUAUGCAUGAAAUGUACUGUGUACCUCAUAGUAAAUUGCAGUUUUUUUAAUAAAAAAAAUUCUAGCAGUGUCGGGCAGAGCAUACUAUUUGCUAGUGGUGCAUCUUGCUUCGGUGUAAACUUGCCCGGGUGCAUCCUUUAAUAGCGUUGGGUGCUAGUUAAUGUCCCCCGCUACUCACUAGUUAGGACUGGGUGCCCGCCAUUGGUAGCCUUUUAUCGGUGGCGGGUUGGCCUGGGUCCCUGCUAGGCAUUCUUGCAGUAGUGGUUGUUGCGACGCAUUGUCUAGUGUGAGUCGAGAAUUCCUUGAGGCAUCAAAGAUAAAUUAAUCAUAUCCUCAUCAUCUCAUCUUGCCAUUUAACCUAAUAUCUCAAAGUGAAAAAGAGUGACCAUCCAAUUCAACACAUAUUUGGUUGGUGAUCCGGAUCACUUUCCUCAAAAGAAUAAGGUCAAACACCUACAUCCACCUUAGGAAAUACCAUCGAUCUUCCACGUUGCUCAGAUUUUCCUUUCGCUGCCAUCCACGCAUCAGCGCGGCAGCCAUCGAAUCUAACAAGGACUAAUCUCUACACAACUUAAUUGUCCCAAGCUCAUUCUGGGUUCUCCAAGAGGUAACAAAACAUCUCGCUAACUUAUACCAGCAUGGGUGACUAAUCAUUGUCAGUGUGGACCCCUGAAUAGCCGUCUAAAAUUGAUUCCAUGUUACUUGUCCCUAGCUAGAACGAAUAUAUGAGUAGCAUCUCGGAAAAUCUACCUUAUCAAUUAGAACCAAGCUGUAAUUUUGAAAACGUGCUACGGAUAAUUUUUCAGAUUAAAAAAAAUAGUACAAUUUGGAAAAACUUCUAAAAGUGGAAUGGUGAUAAUCCAACUAAUAAUAGAUAGUAUUUAUCAAUUGGCAUCUAUUUUUAUCCAUAUCAAGCACGAAGAUUUGUACAAAAAACCUAUUUAUGGAAAGGUAUAAUAGCAUGCUUAUUGUACAAAUUGUUCCUUAUACUAUUUUACAAUGGGAUGGGAUCUCUCUGGCUCUAUCCCUCUCUAUAUAUACANGAGGUAACAAAACAUCUCGCUAACUUAUACCAGCAUGGGUGACUAAUCAUUGUCAGUGUGGACCCCUGAAUAGCCGUCUAAAAUUGAUUCCAUGUUACUUGUCCCUAGCUAGAACGAAUAUAUGAGUAGCAUCUCGGAAAAUCUACCUUAUCAAUUAGAACCAAGCUGUAAUUUUGAAAACGUGCUACGGAUAAUUUUUCAGAUUAAAAAAAAUAGUACAAUUUGGAAAAACUUCUAAAAGUGGAAUGGUGAUAAUCCAACUAAUAAUAGAUAGUACUUAUCCAUUGGCAUCUAUUUUUAUCCAUAUCAAGCACGAAGAUUUGUACAAAAAACCUAUUUAUGGAAAGGUAUAAUAGCAUGCUUAUUGUACAAAUUGUUCCUUAUACUAUUUUACAAUGGGAUGGGAUCUCUCUGGCUCUAUCCCUCUCUAUAUAUACAUGAUUAUAUGAGUGUGUAAAAAUCAUCUUGUAGAUCUCUUGAAACAAGUGUCCCAAUAGCGUCGUAUUAUCAAGAUGGACAAGUACCAACCUCCCAUCCGUGCAAGAGUCCUACUGCAAGCUCUACUUCUUCUUCUCAUAUGUCAUGCUACUACUACACAAUGUAAGCAGGGGAUUUUAAAACUAGUUCUACUUUUAAUAAUCUUUAGUAUUUACAGUAAGUAUACCAUGUAAUAUUUUUUCUUGAAGUAGGUAUUUUUCUAUUACAUAACGACAAAUUAUUUUUAUUCAUUUUUCCCAUGUGGUGGUCGUUAUUGAUCAAUCCAAAAUCAUGCUAAUGUCCAUUGUUUGUUUGUUAUACCAUAGGUCGAAUCAUCAAUGGCAUCGAUAAGGAUAAGAUCAAUUUACAUGGGUUGUGUGUCAUAGACAAACCAGUCCUUGGUGACUACUGUUGCAAAGUUACGCAUGAGUGUUACAUAGACCUUCCGACGUGCCUUCAGGAGUGCAACAAACCUGCAGGCGUGGUGGCGAGGGCAACCCCUCCUUCACCUACCGUAUUCAGGACAAAUGGAAUUUGAUUGGAUAAUAAUAUGCGAUGUACGAAAAAUAUUUGAAAUAAAAAGAAGUAUCUCUGUUUUUGUUAUAUUUGUCAUAUUGCAAUUUAAUUUUGG